CGUUAGUGGCGGACGGGUGAGUAACGCGUGGGAACCUGCCUUGCACCGGGGAUAACACUUAGAAAUAGGUGCUAAUACCGCAUAAGCGCACAGAGCCGCAUGGCUCGGUGUGAAAAACUCCGGUGGUGCAAGAUGGACCCGCGUCUGAUUAGCUGGUUGGCGGGGUAACGGCCCACCAAGGCGACGAUCAGUAGCCGGCCUGAGAGGGUGAACGGCCACAUUGGGACUGAGACACGGCCCAAACUCCUACGGGAGGCAGCAG
rnacentral:rRNA from 1 species